GACGAACGCUGGCGGCGUGCUUAACACAUGCAAGUCGAACGAAGAGCGAUGGAAGCUUGCUUCUAUCAAUCUUAGUGGCGAACGGGUGAGUAACGCGUAAUCAACCUGCCCUUCAGAGGGGGACAACAGUUGGAAACGACUGCUAAUACCGCAUACGAUCUAAUCUAGGCAUCGAGGAUAGAUGAAAGGUGGCCUCUACAUGUAAGCUAUCACUGAAGGAGGGGAUUGCGUCUGAUUAGCUAGUUGGAGGGGUAACGGCCCACCAAGGCGAUGAUCAGUAGCCGGUCUGAGAGGAUGAACGGCCACAUUGGGACUGAGACACGGCCCAGACUCCUACGGGAGGCAGCAGUGGGGAAUCUUCCGCAAUGGACGAAAGUCUGACGGAGCAACGCCGCGUGAGUGAUGACGGCCUUCGGGUUGUAAAGCUCUGUUAAUCGGGACGAAAGGCCUUCUUGCGAAUAGUGAGAAGGAUUGACGGUACCGGAAUAGAAAGCCACGGCUAACUACGUG
rnacentral:rRNA from 1 species